GCCGGGGUGGCGAAAUCGGCAGACGCUGGGGACUUAAAAUCCUCCGGUCAUAAACCAACCGUCCGGGUUCGAGUCCCGGUCCCGGCACGA
rnacentral:tRNA from 1 species